GGUCACUGUGAUCACCGUCCAUGGCCGCCUGCGGAUACCCACGCCGUGCUCAGAAGAGGGCUCUGAGGCCACGCCCGCCUGUGGGGUCGGUGGCCGGGCUUCCGGGACCCCAGAGGGAGUCGUCGCGCGCUAGGUGGAGGGGACCCCUCUGGAAUCCGGCGAUCCCCGGGCGCAGAUGCAGGAGCGGGUGGGGAGAGCCGCGUUCCUGGCAUGUUUGCCUCGAGUUAGUCACGAAGGAAUCGAAGAGAGCCUUAGUCUUCGAGGCUUUUCCCUUCCUGUGAGCCCCUUUGAGGCCAGCACAUUGAUUUUUUUUUCUUUCGCAGAACAAUUUCGGACCUCCUGGGGUCUAUGCUAGGUAUGAGGUGUAUCUUUGCCCUCCAUCAAGUAGCAAAGAUGGACAUGUAAACAAAUUUCGACACUGUGAUGACUGCCACAAAAAGCAGCAUUAUGAGGUUGAAUGUAAAAGGAUAACCUUAGCGGCGGCGGGGGCCGGAGGAUGAAGGAAGGCUUCCUGAGAGUCUACAAAUAAACAUUUUAUAAAGAUGAUCCUUCAAUACAUAUUCUACAGCCCAGUUAAAAUGUGAGAGGCCAUGAUCUACAGACAGCCAUUUAUAAAGGUGGAUCAGGGCCGGACACGGUGGCUCAACGUCUGUAAUCCCGGCACUGUGGGAGGCCAAAGCGGGAGGAUCGCUUGAGCCCAGGAGUUCGAGACCAACCUGGCCAACAUGGUGAGACCCCAUCUUUACAAAAAAAUAUAUAUAUCCAGGCAUAGUGGUGUGCACCUGUGGUCCUGUGGUCCCAGCUACUCAGGAAGCUGAGGCAGUUGAGGCUGCAGUGAGCCACGUUCUGGCCACUACACUCCAGCCUGGGCAUCAAAGUGACAAGACCAAAAAAAAAAAAAAAUGUGGAUUGGAAGGAGGCAAGAAAGAAGUCAGGAAAAGGGUGGAAUGUAAGUCCCUAAGGACACAAUCUUACUCACAAUUGUAUCUCCAACAUUUGGCAUAAUGCCUAAUACGUAAGUAUUUUAUGAAUUAAUUAAACGAGAACACAAGCCUAAAUUAAGGCAAUGGCAAUGGAGAAGAAGAAACCAACUUGAGAAAUAUUUAAAGGUCAUUGUCAAUGGAACUUAGUGACUUUAAUGGUUAAUUUUAUCUAUCAACUUGGCUAGGCGAUGCUACCCAUGUUACUCAGUUUUUGGUCAAACACUAGUCUAGUUGUUGCUAUGAAUUGUAUUUGUUAGAUGUGAUUAACAUUUAAAUCAGCAGACUUUGAUUAAAGUACAUUACCCUCUAUAAUGAGGGUGGGCCGCAUCCGGUCAGUUCAAAUUAAAACGAGACCCUUAAGAAGAAGCAAUUCAGCCUCCAGACUGCAGCGUCAAAUCUCCCUGGGUCUCCAGGCUGUUUGUCUGCCCUGCAGAUUUCAGACUUGCCAGCUCCCAGAAUAAUGUGAGCCAAUUCCUUAAAAUAAAUCUCUUUCUGCAUAUA
ensembl:lncRNA EIF3J-DT EIF3J divergent transcript